CCUACGGGGCGCAGCAGUCGAGAAUCAUUCACAAUGGGGAAAACCCUGAUGGUGCGACGCCGCGUGGGGGAAUGAAGGUCUUCGGAUUGUAAACCCCUGUCAUGUGGGAGCAAAUUAAAAAGAUAGUACCACAAGAGGAAGAGACGGCUAACUCUGUGCCAGCAGCCGCGGUAAUACAGAGGUCUCAAGCGUUGUUCGGAAUCACGGGGCGUAAAGCGUGCGUAGGCUGUUUCGUAAGUCGUGUGUGAAAGGCGCGGGCCCGACCCGCGGGCGGUGCAUGAUACUGCGAGACUAGAGUAAUGGAGGGGGGACCGGAAUUCUCGGUGUAGCAGUGGAGUGCGUAGAUAUCGAGAGGAACACUCGUGGCGAAGGCGGGUUCCGGGACAUUAACUGGCGCUGAGGCACGAAGGCCAGGGGAGCGAAAGGGAUUAGAUACCCUUGUAGUC
rnacentral:rRNA from 1 species